UACGGGGGGAGCAAGCGUUGUUCGGAUUUACUGGGCGUAAAGGGCGCGUAGGCGGUCAGCACAAGUCAGUUGUGAAAUCUCCGGGCUUAACUCGGAAAGGUCAACUGAUACUGUGCGACUAGAGUGCGGAAGGGGCAACUGGAAUUCUCGGUGUAGCGGUGAAAUGCGUAGAUGUCGAGAGGAACACCUGCGGCGAAGGCGGGUUGCUGGGCCGACACUGACGCUGAUGCGCGAAAGCCAGGGGAGCGAACGGG
rnacentral:rRNA from 1 species